UCCAUAAAUUUUAUUUAACCAUAUUGAUUACAUCUCUACUUUUAACGUUGAGAGUGAAAAGUGACUUUUUGAAAUGUUACUCGAUGUCUUUGUUUCUGUUAUGUUCAUUUUUCACAUUUUCUUUUGUUCCUUUUCAUUCUCAGUAUUUCUUCAAGUGAAGUCACAUUUUAUGCAAUUCUCUACCUCCUGGAAGUGAUUACACGCAAAUUCUCCGUGCAGUAUGUAUGAAUCAUACAUGAAGCAGGUGACGAGAAAAUAAAUACUUAUCAGGAAAGGGGUGCACUGUUACCUCAGUGUCAUACAAAUUCUCUCCACUGAUUUGCAAGGAAUCGAAGUGUAUAGCAAUUAUCAGAGAGAGUUACGAAUUUGAUCUCGGGAUCCGAAGAAAAGGGUCAAAUAACCAUUGGUAUCCUCUUAUGAAUUGUUAUCUUCCAUCGUUGUUUUGAUGUUCCAGGCAAAUCCGAUUUUGUUCUCCUUAAGCCCGGACGGCAUUUAAUUUUUCUCACCGCCUUAUCGUCUGGGCGUGAGGACGGUGCCGCUUUAAAGCUUGGCGCGGACUCUUUAGCAUCGCUGAUAUCUCGCAAACUUUUGGCCAAUUCUUGCAAACUCAAAUUUGCACGUUUGGUAAACAAUGGUUCCUUUAUCGAAGGUGUGGGGGGAUGCAUUGUUGAUUCCAUUUUAAAAGCUGUUGAUGAUUGUUGUCUCUGUGAGUGUAGUGUAGGGUUGUAAAUACUCGGUAGCGACUUACACCUCGUCAGACCGUUAAACGAGAAAAACUUGCGCCGCUCGGCGAGUUCGUGUUCCAUUCUCUGGUAGGUCCUAAGCGGAUUUGGCUUGUCAUCGUCUAUCGGAGUUUCCAACUCUUUUCGCAGCUUUGCCUCUUGGAGGUAGAUCGAGAACAGUUCUUUCUUUGUCUGAAACGAAGUUUCUGAAGGCAUUUGUGUCGUUCUCGAAGGAGCAUUACGAGCCUCCACGAAAAUGCUAGGAAUCAUCGUUGGAACUAAAUCAUUCCUUGUUGAACACUUGCUAGAAACGAGCGAGUAGUUACGAACCCUCCAUAUCUAUGUUACCACCAGGUCAAUAUCAUUGGUAUAUUGCAGUCAAUACGUGUUUCAUUAUUUAGGUAAACAAAAUUUACACAUGUACCACGUGUUCAAUUAAGUUCUCUUACAGGCUGAAAAAUAAUUGUUUGGAGUCUUAAUCCUCAAGAGCAUCUAUUGUUAAAAACACAUUAAAUCAUCUGCGAUAAGUGAUGGUACAUUACGGACUUCAUUCGAUCCAGACAAAGAAAGCUAUUGCGGUAUAGCUAUGCCAACGAGUUUUUGAAAUGUCUUUGUACGGAAACCUUGCGAAAUACGCGCGGCGAACGAUGUCUUCGAGCGAUUCUUUGACCGCCUACUUUUAACAUAACCAGGGGGUACUGGAAUGGAACUACAUUUUUACCAAUCUCUUGCCCGCUCCUUCGGUUAUUGAACGAAAUAAACAAGCUUUUAAGCUAAUGAGUUGUUCGUUAGUGUUUUAGGGCAUCUCUUUGUUUAUUUUAGUAGAAACGGGGUUGAUUAUAGCCCUUAGAAUCCAAACGAUAAUGGUUUUGAGUAACGGUGGCACUUAGUAGUUUUCAGAGAACUGUUUGACCCAAUAUUAGGCAUAAUUAUUUCACGGUACUGUUAAGCCUUUUUUAUCCGCGUUUUACAAAAUUAUUUCUAAUUUGAAUGAAUUUGCGGGAAUUCAGUCUAAUUAGUCAGAAAAAGUUUUAGAGAUAACUACAAAACAAGAAGGUUACAAGGUCGACCUGGGAUCAUGGGAGGCUAUGACACGAUUUUCAUCAAAAAAUCUAACAUUUUCAUAAUACACAUGCCAUCAGUACAAAGCUCUUUUUUUGACAACAUAGCUGACAACUAAGUGAAAUCUUAGCCAGAAGUAAAGAUGAAGGGAUAAAGAUUUUGCAAACAAACCAAUAAGGGCGCCGUUCAAUUGAAUGUUGUAAAACCAAAACCAAUGGAAGUCACAACAGCCAAUCAGAAGAGAGGAAAAUGUAAACAGCUAAAAGCCUUCAACCGCGGGAAAGCGCUAGUUACCAGUCGCGAUGGGUUUCAGUUUUGAAUCUGAUUGGUUGAUAAAGUGAAGCGAGUUUUCUGAACCAAUUUUAUUUAGCGAAGAAAAGCAAAACCAAAUUAAUCUUGGAUUACUUUUGACACUGAAAAUCUGUGUAAUAAAUAGUGUCAAAUAACUUAAGGUUAAUCAUCUUGAUUUUUCGACUUGUUUUGUAUUUUUUUCCAAAGGAAGGAGUGAAAGUAAGUGCGUGUUUUGUCAACUGCCUUCGAUGCCCAUAUUGGAGAAGAUCAGGUAUUGUAGCUUGGUAGGAAUUCUUUCCCUCGCUACGCUUCAGUUCGAUAGGAAGAGAUCGCUGAAACAUAAAUCCAAACAUGAAAAGCCACUUGCCACCUCAUGUUGAAGGACUCUAAGUCACUCAUUGGCUACUGCUUACUGCAAAUGCAAGUCGGAAAACUUUAGACGAAAAUUUUCAAUAGACACAAAUGGUGUCAUGGCUCCCUUAAAAAGUGAAACACUCCGUGGAAAGCUGUUUUCGUGAUUUCAAAGAAUUUAACGUGACUUUCUGUCGAAAGGAAGCGAGGCCAAACGUCUUCGGAAGAUUUCAAAUCCUCACUUCUCCUAAGUUUACUCAGUGAUUGAGUAAAUUUAAUAUAAGAAAAGCGGCAUGUAAGAAAUGUGCUUGAAGAUUACACCGAAGAAAAGUUCAAACCCUCGUAGAGCAGCCGAAAGUUUCUAUUUUGUAAUUAAUUGAGAGAAAACUUUACAUACUUAUGAAGACAUCUUGACUGGAAAAGUACAUCGAACAACAGAUUUAUGAUAAUAAAUAACGUCAAAUUAGAGGUAUGUCAUACCAUCUGUGUUCUGCUAAACCGCAUGAUAUUCUCAUUAUGAAUACAUUAUCCACAUUGAAGGAUUACUGACUGUAAUCUCGUAAAUCUUUUUUUAUUCCGAUGUUACUUCCAGUUUUCGAAUCCACAAGCCGUGAUCGUUUACACACGGCUAUAGAUUGUGCAACCUUUUUCAGGUGGUGACAAUGAUUUAGAAAAGCUGAAUACUUUAUAAAACCUUUGAAAUUUAAUUAAAUAUCGCACAAUUACUUAACGUGCAACUUACUAAACGUUUCAAAAUUAAUUGGAUUUAAAGUUCAAAUUGGAAUACAUCCUCUUUCUUUAACAUGGUCAAAAGAUUGCACGCUUCAAUAAUUAAGAAUACCAUUCUUUACUCCGUUUCAGUAAUAUACAUCGACGGUUAUUCAAUAGAAUUAACUAUCUCCCGCAACACCUCUGAAGGAAAACAAAGCAUCUUAAUUCAAGCUUUGAUUGAUUGUCCUUUUAUCUUGUAAGCCAGUUCUCUCAAUUUUGAGACCUUGUUAUGCUACGUUGAAGACUUAAUCGUGCAAUAGUUGAUUUUCAGAAACAAGAGUGUGUCUCUGGUUUUGCGUAAUGCUAUAAAUAUUUCUUCGAAGGAGAACGAAAAGCGAUCUCUCUGCCUCUAAGACAUAUGAUAUCGAAAUACUGCGAGUUCUAAGUCGAGUCAUUAUAUUAUUUACUAAGAUGACUAACAAAGAUGUUAUGUAGAAAUACCAGGUUUGCCGUAACAAACUGGUUAGGAUGAACUUGUUCUUCAUGACUUUUCGGUGGCGUUACGUUUGCGCAGAAUUCUUGGCUGUCAGAAAUCUACCUGCAGACUUUCGGUGGUGCUGAGUUCAAGUUCUGAAUAUUUCGUAUCCAAACCAUUUGCUUCUCGAACUGAAGCUCGCCAUGAAGCGACCGCAAAUGAAGAAGUAAUCCACGAAACUUUUGCGAGCGAAUAUUGUUUUCAUAAGCCAUGCCAUGAUAAACAAAUGAUUUUGUGUUUACUCUUUUAAUGGUGGUAAGUUGCAACUGUCAGUGACACGCUCAUACUUUCUGAUUCCUCGGCAAUUCGCCGUUUACUGUGCCUCGUAUGCAUUUUUUUCUUCCAUUGCUCUUUCUCUGUGUUCGUUGUAGCGUUCAGGUGGUUAUUGUCUUUUAAGCCUACUGACGGCUUAACACAUUGAGUCACACGCAUCUUGGCAUUCGCAUCAUCGGACGAGAAGCAGUGUGGCGAAGGUCUUUUAGGACGAUUUGUUUUUGAUUUGUUUCUACGUUUCCUUUUCUUAUCGCUCGAUAACGGGUCGCUUGUAGCAACUAACUGAACUUUUCCACCAUUUAUCUGCGGUAAUUUAGUAGAAACGUCCUUGUUUUUCUGCGAGUUUCGGAGUAUUUCUGUCAUACUCAGAGGGAGUUGACUGGAGGGGCUUAAUUCAGGUAGACGAAGAGAUUCUUCAACCAGUUCUUCGAAAGUUUUCCCAGCUUUCGUUUUAGUAUUCUGUUUGAUGUCCAUCGUCGACAGCCCAGGUCUUGUGUGCUCUGAAUUUAACCUCACGAUGUACUCUUGUUCUUUGCCAAGCAUUGAAUGUACACCGACGCUGCUCUCUGAAGCGUAAAACUUGGUGGGGCGGUAUAUAUGCAAUGUAACUUGUCCCCAAAAUGUUUGCACGGUAGAGCGAAAUCAAAUUGUCAAUCUUGACAAAUAGAUCGCAGUUUUGUGGCACAGAGAACGCUGUUUAUCAGCCCAUAAAAUAAAUCUGGUCGUCUUCUAAGCGACGAUUGGAGUGAUAGUUUUUACAAUGGCUAAGACGCGCUAGGAUAGUUUCCUCUCUAAAGUGAGCUUACGAGCCGAAACCAAACACCACAAAGAAUUUUAUGAAUUACAAUUAUUCAGUAUUAUGAUAGUCAACAUCUCUUGCCUCUGACCUCUACAUGACCUGUAUUUUUAGUGUUGUUUGGGCUUGGGCCGAUAGGAGCGUUAAUGAGAUCGAAAUGUUGUACUAAAAGAUCACAAAAACUCUAAGCUCAAAUCAUGUUCUUCGUAUAACACAAAAUUUGCGCUCAGUGGGUGACAGAACGGCCUGUUUUAAUUGGGUGCAAAACGCAUUUUUUGUGUGAAAAUUACCCACCAAGAGCGCAAAUACAAUGACGUUUAGUCUAAUGCAUUUCCUUAUCUAGAAUAAACAAAAUGUCGUUUGAA